UGAUUUUUAGGGAACAUGCCAGUUUGUACC
rnacentral:piRNA from 1 species